rnacentral:rRNA from 1 species
AAUCAACGCUGGCGGCGUGCCUCAGACAUGCAAGUCGAACGCGAAAGUUUCCUUCGGGGAACAAGUAGAGUGGCGCACGGGUGAGUAACACGUAGGUAAUCUACCUUUGGAUGGGGAAUAACAACCGGAAACGGUUGCUAAUACCGCAUAAUGCAGCGGCACCUAAUGGUGACAGUUGUUAAAGCGGGGGAUCGAAAGACCUCGCGUCUGAAGAGGAGCCUGCGGCGGAUUAGCAGUUGGUAAGGUAAUGGCUUACCAAGGCUACGAUCCGUAACCGGCCUGAGAGGGCGGUCGGUCACACUGACACUGACAUACGGGUCAGACUCCUACGGGAGGCAGCAGUCGGGAAUUUGGGCAAUGGGCGAAAGCCUGACCCAGCAACGCCGCGU